UUCUUCUAAAAUACAUGGUUAAUAGACACAUUAAGUCAAAUAAAUACAAGUAAGUUAACAAAUAAAGUUCGUGAUGAAAACCAUAGACUCAAAACAAUCAUAAAAUUUCAAUGUCAAUGACAUUUCCUUAAAAUUUCGCUUCGCGCGUUAUAUUUACAUUUGAGUUUUUUAUUUUACUUCACUUACCAUCAAGUUUAUUAUUAAUUAUUUUAGAAAUUAAUUUUGGUAAAAAGUUAUAAAAUGGCUCCAUGGACGAGUUCAGCAACUCCAGAACAAGUAGAUACACUCCUCAACUUUCUGAACAUCGCGACCCUGCCCGCAAACAUCUGCGAAGUGUAGAAGGCAAGCUCCAAGCGAAGCAACUCUGGGACGAGGUGUCCAACCUCCUAAAUGCCAUGGGCGUUUGCACAAAUACAAACAUGCAGGGGCAAAAAGUUUGGUUUAACCGAAAAAGUUGUUGCUGACUCCCAGUGGUUGGCUACAAUGACUGGAGGUGGGCCGGGAACAAGUUAAUUCUUUAAUUCUGAAGUAAUCUAGAUAUCUUAUAGCAGAAGAUAACGUUAUUUGGAGGAUUAUUAGCUAUAAGCUUUAACUUUAAAAUUAUUUGUCUCUCAAAUUAAUGCGUUUUAAUUUUGUACUACUGUCAGUAUUUGUAUGCUGUUAUUGUACUUACGCAUAUAAUGUUGAAUAUUGGAUUAUAUAAUAUAUAAAUAUAUCAGUGAAAUGUGUUUCUAUUGGACCACUUUUAUUUCUGUUUUUAUAAGACUUUAUUCUAUUAAAUGUUUUAACAUUUAAA